rnacentral:rRNA from 1 species
CAGUCGCCGCGGGAAUACGGAGGGUGCAAGCGUUAAUCGGAAUUACUGGGCGUAAAGCGUGCGUAGGCGGUUCGUUAAGUCUGUUGUGAAAGCCCCGGGCUCAACCUGGGAAUGGCAAUGGAUACUGGCGAGCUAGAGUGUGUCAGAGGAUGGUGGAAUUCUCGGUGUAGCGGUGAAAUGCGUAGAGAUCGGGAGGAACAUCAGUGGCGAAGGCGGCCAUCUGGGACAACACUGACGCUGAGGCACGAAAGCGUGGGGAGCAAACAGGAUUAGAUACCCGGGUAGUCCCUGUCUCUUAUAC